rnacentral:lncRNA from 1 species
AUCCUUUGGCAUUUGAGAGUUGCUUUUUGUAUACAGCCCUUUAACGGAGCAAAUGGCCAGCCAGGAAACCAAAGUGUGGACAAGGGGAAAGAAGCAUCUGUGGAGGAAGUUCUACAAGCAACCCUCCUCAUCCAUGUGGGUGGCGUUGCCCAUAUGCUACAUGUCUGUGGACCACUAUGUGUGUUUAAAGCUUUUUAGUAAAACGUUACUAAAAACUAUGACUCACUGUGGUGAAAAAGGUGGCAAAACAGUGACAGCAACUUGUCAUUGCUACAGCAACACGGAGAUGCAUUGACACCCUUCUUCAAUCCAGAGGAUGGGCCAUCAACUCACAAAAGUACAAGGCCUGGAACCAGCUACAAAGUUCCUAUGGAUCACUUGGCCAGACCGUGAUCAUGGGCUACAUUCUCCAUACCAGCUUCAUAGCUCCAGUGAGAAAAUAAAUUCCUGCAUCCAGGAGACGUGGAGUAAGAGAUACAGCUGCCCUUGACCAUAUUUCUUACUUCAGAGAAGAUCGUAGCAGUAAUUCAGGUUAUUGGGGAACAGGUGGUUUGGGUUACAUGAAAUCUCAUCCAGGAUACCUCAUCACAGGCUGGAGUGCAGUGUCAUGAGCUUGGUUCACUACAGCCUCCAUCUUCUGUGCUUAAGAACCCUUCCCUCUCAACCUCCAGGGUAGCUGAGACUACAGGCAACAUUCGAAACCCAGGUGCCACUCCUUCAGGAAGGUACCUUCAAGCUCCAAGGACUCUUAUCCUCUUUCUCCUUCCCCACUACCUAGUCAUUAGAGCGUCAGCAUCCCCUUCUUGAAAGGAAGAUGCCUGUUUUUCACAUAUCCCAGAAAGCCCCAUUUUAGGACAGCAUUUAGCAGAAUAUAUUCAGGACCCCACUAACCUUUUCGGAAGACAUGAAUUCCAGAUGAUAUAAGGCAAGAAUAAGAAAUGUCAGUGACAGGCAACAGAAAUCAUAUUUCUGCAUUCAGGAUCAUGUUUUCUUGGCUCCAUCAGGAACUUUGCAGGACCGUGCACUCUGUUGAUACUCACAUGGUGGAAUUAUAUUGCCCUUGGCCAACCUAAAGCCAUCAAGAUAGCAGGUUUGGAAUAAUUCACUGUUGAAGUCUUCUUGAGCUGAGCAGUCAUGUGAGCUUGGAAGAUGAUCCCUCUCCAGCUGAUCCUUCAGGUCAGGCCAUCAUCUACAUCUGGAUUCCUGACCCAGAGAAACUAUGAGUAAUGUAUGCUGCUUUUGAGCCACUAAGCUAUAUAGUAAUAGGCUAUGCUUCAAUAAACAAUAAUACACUUGAUGAU